rnacentral:tRNA from 1 species
GCGCCGGUAAAAGUCGGGAUCUUGCCCUCCGAAGGCAGAGGUCGUGAGUUCGAAUCUCGCCGGGUGCGCCA